rnacentral:rRNA from 1 species
UACAGAGGGUGCGAGCGUUGUUCGGAAUUACUGGGCGUAAAGGGCUCGUAGGCGGCCAACUAAGUCAUACGUGAAAUCCCUCAGCUUAACUGGGGAACUGCGUGUGAUACUGGAUGGCUUGGAUUUGGGAGAGGGAUGCGGAAUUCCAGGUGUAGCGGUGAAAUGCGUAGAUAUCUGGAGGAACACCGGUGGCGAAGGCAGUAUCCUGGACCAAUAUUGACGCUGAGGAGCGAAAGCUAGGGGAGCAAACGGG